GUGUGUCCCCUGCAUUGACAGGUGGAUUCUCAACCACUGGACCCCCAGGAAAGUCCUAGAAGUAACACUUUAUGGGAGCAUGGCCACACCCACCAUCCACACGUCACCUGUGCUGGCUUCAGAAUUACGAUGGCAGAGUUGAGUGGUUGCCACAGAGACCAUUCAGAUUCCGAAGCCUAAACUAUUUUUAUUAUCUGGUCCUUUACACAAAAAAUGUGCUGGCCUCCAGGACCACUAACGUGGGCUGGGGACUUGAAGAGAACUUUUGCAGCAGGCCUGCCUCUCUGAAUUCCUGGAAAAUCCCACAUGCUGCAGAGCGACUAAGCCCGUGCUCCACAACUACUGAGCCAGCGCUCUGGAGCCUGCGAGCUGCCAGUACUGAAGCCUGGGUGCCUAGAGCCUGUGCUCCACGAGAAGAGAAGCCACUGCAGUGAGAAGCCCGAGCACCAAACGAAGAGCAGCCCCUGCUCGCCCCAAUGCGCAGAGGACCAUGACUUCACUGGGCAGGAUGUGGGGCUCACGCCACGGUUUUAUUGUUUGGGUGUAUGUCUCGUGUUUCUGUUGCAUGGUUUUGUUGCUAGACAUGUGGUUCUUGGUUUGUCGUGGUUCUGACGCAUUGGAAAAGACCCCGAUGUUGGGAAAGACUGAAGGCAAAGGAGAAGAG
ensembl:lncRNA